CUCUUAUUUCUACUAAGCCUAAGCUUAGUUGCAGAGCCAUCCACGUUUCUUUUUUUUUCCUAAAUAUAUACCUAUCAUUCUAACCCUAGCCGUUUCUCUGAAUUCUUAACAAUCAUAAACAACUCAUCGCUCAUCCCUCGCUUCCUCAUUCAACCUUGAUCGAAAUCGAUUCCGUUUCCUCCUAGAGAUUCUAGACUCACGUAUCUGCGUUUUCCUAUCUCGUUUUCAUAAAACGACCCGUCGACUGUUCGUACUUCAGAGGCGAACCAGAGUUAGAUUGCUUGCCAGGAUCACGUGGAUUUAGCAAGCAGUGAGUUUAUAUCUCUAUUUACCUCUUUAUUAAGCAAAUGUUAUAUUUUGUAUAUUUAUAUGUAUAAACAGCUUUCGAACUGUUUUUCGGCAUUGUGGAUUUGAUUUGGAACGUGCUACUCGAUGGGCAUCAUCGGGACUGCGUGCGCACCGGUAAUGAUUAUGGUAUUUAGGUAGGUUUGAGAUACGUCUCACCUUAGUGAGGGCACCGGUGGAAGAUACGUCUCCUGGGCUCACUAUUUAUUAAGUGAUAGUCGGGGAUCGGUUAUUGAGAUACGUCUCACCGACACGACAAUGGAUUUAGAAUUGUGGU